GUUGUGGUGCCCGAGUGGUUAAGAAGAUGGAUUUGAAAUCCAUUGGGCUCUGCCCAUACAGGUUCGAAUCCUGUCUGCAGCA